rfam:Kluyveromyces marxianus DMKT3-1042 DNA, complete genome, chromosome 5.
GCCCUUGUAGCUCAGUGGUUUAGAGCAUCGUGCUUAUAGGUUGACUCCGAUUAAUACGGAACAUUCUAUGAAAAUGGCCUUUCAAACGGUCUUUCAAAGCAACGCGAUAGUCGUGGGUUCAAACCCCACCAGGGGCA